UGGUGGACAUGGACAAUAUGCAGCGUCAGUUCCUGGGGCACCAUCAGCUCCAGCAUCUCCAUCUUUUCCUGGAGCUCCAGCCUCUCCAUCCUUUCCGUUUGGUCC
ensembl:ncRNA C18H7.14 ncRNA